GUGGGGAAUAUUGCACAAUGGGCGAAAGCCUGAUGCAGCGACGCCGCGUGCGGGAUGAAGGCCUUCGGGUUGUAAACCGCUUUUAAUUGGGAGCAAGCGAGAGUGAGUGUACCUUUUGAAUAAGCACCGGCUAACUACGUGCCAGCAGCCGCGGUAAUACGUAGGGUGCAAGCGUUAUCCGGAAUUAUUGGGCGUAAAGAGCUCGUAGGCGGUUUGUCACGCCUGGUGUGAAAGUCCAUCGCUUAACGGUGGAUCUGCGCCGGGUACGGGCAGGCUAGAGUGCAGUAGGGGAGAUUGGAAUUCCCGGUGUAACGGUGGAAUGUGUAGAUAUCGGGAAGAACACCAAUGGCGAAGGCAGAUCUCUGGGCUGUUACUGACGCUGAGGAGCGAAAGCAUGGGGAGCGAACAGGAUUAGAAACCCGGGUAGUCC
rnacentral:rRNA from 1 species